AGAGUCCUUUCAUGGCUCAGGAUGAACGCUAGCGGCAGGCCUAACACAUGCAAGUCGAGGGGCAGCGGGGAGGAAGCUUGCUUUCUCCGCCGGCGACCGGCGCACGGGUGAGUAACACGUAUGCAACCUGCCCCUGUCAGGGGGACAACCCGCCGAAAGGCGGGCUAAACCCGCGUACAUGCCACCGGGGCAUCCCGGAGGCAGGAAAGGCUUCGGCCGGACAGGGAUGGGCAUGCGGCGCAUUAGGCAGUAGGCGGGGUAACGGCCCACCUAACCGACGAUGCGUAGGGGUUCUGAGAGGAAGGUCCCCCACACUGGUACUGAGACACGGACCAGACUCCUACGGGAGGCAGCAGUGAGGAAUAUUGGUCAAUGGUCGGGAGACUGAACCAGCCAAGCCGCGUGAGGGAGGAAGGUACAGAGUAUCGUAAACCUCUUUUGUCAGGGAACAAAGGCGGGGACGUGUCCCCGGAUGAGUGUACCUGAAGAAAAAGCAUCGGCUAACUCCGUGCCAGCAGCCGCGGUAAUACGGAGGAUGCGAGCGUUAUCCGGAUUUAUUGGGUUUAAAGGGUGCGCAGGCGGUCUGUUAAGUCGGCGGUCAAAGCCCGGGGCUCAACCCCGGCCCGCCGUUGAAACUGGCAGUCUCGAGUUGGAGAGAAGUAUGCGGAAUGCGCGGUGUAGCGGUGAAAUGCAUAGAUAUCGCGCAGAACUCCGAUUGCGAAGGCAGCAUGCCGGCUCCACACUGACGCUGAGGCACGAAAGCGUGGGUAUCGAACAGGAUUAGAUACCCUGGUAGUCCACGCAGUAAACGAUGAAUGCUGGCUGUCCGGGGGGACUGACCCCUGGGUGGCGAAGCGAAAGCGAUAAGCAUUCCACCUGGGGAGUACGCCGGCAACGGUGAAACUCAAAGGAAUUGACGGGGGCCCGCACAAGCGGAGGAACAUGUGGUUUAAUUCGAUGAUACGCGAGGAACCUUACCCGGGCUCAAACGGGGAGUGGCGCAGGCAGAGACGCCUGUUUCCCACGGGACACUCCCCGAGGUGCUGCAUGGUUGUCGUCAGCUCGUGCCGUGAGGUGUCGGCUUAAGUGCCAUAACGAGCGCAACCCCCGCGUGCAGUUGCUAACAGUCAACGCUGAGGACUCUGCACGGACUGCCGGCGCAAGCCGCGAGGAAGGCGGGGAUGACGUCAAAUCAGCACGGCCCUUACGUCCGGGGCGACACACGUGUUACAAUGGGUGGUACAGCGGGAAGCCGGGCGGCGACGCCGAGCGGAACCCGAAAUCCACUCUCAGUUCGGAUCGGAGUCUGCAACCCGACUCCGUGAAGCUGGAUUCGCUAGUAAUCGCGCAUCAGCCAUGGCGCGGUGAAUACGUUCCCGGGCCUUGUACACACCGCCCGUCAAG
rnacentral:rRNA from 1 species